rnacentral:rRNA from 1 species
AGCGUACACGGUGGAUGCCCUGGCAGUCAGAGGCGAUGAAGGACGUGCUAAUCUGCGAAAAGCGUCGGUAAGGUGAUAUGAACCGUUAUAACCGGCGAUGUCCGAAUGGGGAAACCCAGUGCAAUUCGUUGCACUAUCGUUAACUGAAUACAUAGGUUAACGAGGCGAACCGGGGGAACUGAAACAUCUAAGUACCCCGAGGAAAAGAAAUCAACCGAGAUUCCCCCAGUAGCGGCGAGCGAACGGGGAGCAGCCCAGAGUCUGAAUCAGCUUGUGUGUUAGUGGAACGGUCUGGAAAGUCCGACGGUACAGGGUGAUAGUCCCGUACACCAAAAUGCACAGGCUGUGAACUCGAAGAGUAGGGCGGGACACGUGGUAUCCUGUCUGAAUAUGGGGGGACCAUCCUCCAAGGCUAAAUACUCCUGACUGACCGAUAGUGAACCAGUACCGUGAGGGAAAGGCGAAAAGAACCCCGGCGAGGGGAGUGAAAAAGAACCUGAAACCGUGUACGUACAAGCAGUGGGAGCACCUUCGGGUGUGACUGCGUACCUUUUGUAUAAUGGGUCAGCGACUUAUAUUCUGUAGCAAGGUUAACCGUAUAGGGGAGCCGCAGGGAAACCGAGUCUUAACUGGGCGUUAAGUUGCAGGGUAUAGACCCGAAACCCGGUGAUCUAGCCAUGGGCAGGUUGAAGGUUGGGUAACACUAACUGGAGGACCGAACCGACUAAUGUUGAAAAAUUAGCGGAUGACUUGUGGCUGGGGGUGAAAGGCCAAUCAAACCGGGAGAUAGCUGGUUCUCCCCGAAAGCUAUUUAGGUAGCGCCUCGUGAAUUCAUCUUCGGGGGUAGAGCACUGUUUCGGCUAGGGGGUCAUCCCGACUUACCAACCCGAUGCAAACUACGAAUACCGAAGAAUGUUAUCACGGGAGACACACGGCGGGUGCUAACGUCCGUCGUGAAGAGGGAAACAACCCAGACCGCCAGCUAAGGUCCCAAAGUCAUGGUUAAGUGGGAAACGAUGUGGGAAGGCACAGACAGCCAGGAUGUUGGCUUAGAAGCAGCCAUCAUUUAAAGAAAGCGUAAUAGCUCACUGGUCGAGUCGGCCUGCGCGGAAGAUGUAACGGGGCUAAACCAUGCACCGAAGCUGCGGCAGCGACACUAUGUGUUGUUGGGUAGGGGAGCGUUCUGUAAGCCUGCGAAGGUGACCUGUGAGGGUUGCUGGAGGUAUCAGAAGUGCGAAUGCUGACAUAAGUAACGAUAAAGCGGGUGAAAAGCCCGCUCGCCGGAAGACCAAGGGUUCCUGUCCAACGUUAAUCGGGGCAGGGUGAGUCGACCCCUAAGGCGAGGCCGAAAGGCGUAGUCGAUGGGAAACAGGUUAAUAUUCCUGUACUUGGUGUUACUGCGAAGGGGGGACGGAGAAGGCUAUGUUAGCCGGGCGACGGUUGUCCCGGUUUAAGCAUGUAGGCUGGUUGUCCAGGCAAAUCCGGAUAAUCAAGGCUGAGGUGUGAUGACGAGGCACUACGGUGCUGAAGUAACAAAUGCCCUGCUUCCAGGAAAAGCCUCUAAGCAUCAGGUAACAUCAAAUCGUACCCCAAACCGACACAGGUGGUCAGGUAGAGAAUACCAAGGCGCUUGAGAGAACUCGGGUGAAGGAACUAGGCAAAAUGGUGCCGUAACUUCGGGAGAAGGCACGCUGGUGUGUAGGUGAAGUCCCUGCGGAUGGAGCUGAGACCAGUCGAAGAUACCAGCUGGCUGCAACUGUUUAUUAAAAACACAGCACUGUGCAAACACGAAAGUGGACGUAUACGGUGUGACGCCUGCCCGGUGCCGGAAGGUUAAUUGAUGGGGUUAUCCGUAAGGAGAAGCUCUUGAUCGAAGCCCCGGUAAACGGCGGCCGUAACUAUAACGGUCCUAAGGUAGCGAAAUUCCUUGUCGGGUAAGUUCCGACCUGCACGAAUGGCGUAAUGAUGGCCAGGCUGUCUCCACCCGAGACUCAGUGAAAUUGAACUCGCUGUGAAGAUGCAGUGUACCCGCGGCAAGACGGAAAGACCCCGUGAACCUUUACUAUAGCUUGACACUGAACAUUGAGCCUUGAUGUGUAGGAUAGGUGGGAGGCUUUGAAGCGUGGACGCCAGUCUGCGUGGAGCCAACCUUGAAAUACCACCCUUUAAUGUUUGAUGUUCUAACGUUGGCCCCUUAUCGGGGUUGCGGACAGUGUCUGGUGGGUAGUUUGACUGGGGCGGUCUCCUCCCAAAGCGUAACGGAGGAGCACGAAGGUUAGCUAAUCCUGGUCGGACAUCAGGAGGUUAGUGCAAUGGCAUAAGCUAGCUUGACUGCGAGCGUGACGGCGCGAGCAGGUGCGAAAGCAGGUCAUAGUGAUCCGGUGGUUCUGAAUGGAAGGGCCAUCGCUCAACGGAUAAAAGGUACUCCGGGGAUAACAGGCUGAUACCGCCCAAGAGUUCAUAUCGACGGCGGUGUUUGGCACCUCGAUGUCGGCUCAUCACAUCCUGGGGCUGAAGUAGGUCCCAAGGGUAUGGCUGUUCGCCAUUUAAAGUGGUACGCGAGCUGGGUUUAGAACGUCGUGAGACAGUUCGGUCCCUAUCUGCCGUGGGCGCUGGAGAAUUGAGGGGGGCUGCUCCUAGUACGAGAGGACCGGAGUGGACGCAUCACUGGUGUUCGGGUUGUCAUGCCAAUGGCACUGCCCGGUAGCUAAAUGCGGAAGAGAUAAGUGCUGAAAGCAUCUAAGCACGAAACUUGCCCCGAGAUGAGUUCU